rnacentral:rRNA from 1 species
AUACGUAGGGGGCUAGCGUUAUCCGGAAUUACUGGGCGUAAAGGGUGCGUAGGUGGUUUCUUAAGUCAGAGGUGAAAGGCUACGGCUCAACCGUAGUAAGCUCUUGAAACUGGGAAACUUGAGUGCAGAAGAGGAAAGUGGAAUUCCAUGUGUAGCGGUGAAAUGCGUAGAGAUAUGGAGGAACACCAGUGGCGAAGGCGGCUUUCUGGACUGUAACUGACACUGAGGCACGAAAGCGUGGGGAGC